rnacentral:lncRNA from 1 species
CCCCGGACUCCUCCCUGCCCUCUCCGGCUUCCCUGCCUCACAGGCUCCUCGCGUUCCCAGAGGGCUCCUUCCUGGGCCUGCCUGUGCCCCCCUUCUCCCGGCUCUCCUGUCCCCGGCCAGCUGCCGCAGAAAAUUUUCUGGAACUUGAGAAUCAUGGUAACACAGAAGUGGAGUGGCAUCCGUCAGUCAUCUCUAGCUCCACCUUAUGUCAAGGUCUCCAUCACAUUUUUGCCCAGAGAUAGAGGAGAUUGUGCUCAGUUUUGGGGUAUUGAGUGUCACCCCCUUAAGGAGCCUCACAGGAAACAUAUCUCUGAGAUUUCAACUGUCUGGGCAAUGUCAAAGCAGAAAAUGAGCCUGAAAGUUCAAAAAUUUCCACAAACCUCCUCAUUAAACUGGACAAUUUAGUUAAGCCCCGAAGACAAGGUGUAUCAGACACUGCUCUCAUACCCAGGUAUGUUGUCUUUGCCAUUCUUUUGACAUUUUCUCCAGUGCUUUGAGAUACAGUUAUGUUCAGUAAAGUGCUCCCUGAGCUCACCUAUGAGCUUUCAUGCAUCGCUACAACUCUAAUCAAGAUAGAGAAUAUCUCUCUCACCUGGAAAGCUCUUACACAUCCCUUUGCAUUCAGCCCGGCCCUCAACCCGAUAUCCGCUCUGAUCUAUCGCCAUAGGUUGGUUUUGUUGAGUUUCAAACACAUACACACUCCUUGAGCCUGGCUUCUUUCACCACACAUAAUGGUUUUGGGAUUCAUUUGUUUUGUAGAGUAUAUAGGUAGUGUGUCCCUUUUCAUUGUCGAGUAUGGCUUCAUGUGAACGUAUCAUGGUUUAUUCAUUUUCCUGGUGACAUUUGGGUGGCUCCUCAUUUGGAGCCAUUAUAAGUGAAGGUGCUAUGAGCGUUGUUGUAUGUGUAUUUUUGUGGAUGUACCUUUUAAUUUCCUUUGGGUAGGGGAUCCCUGGGUGGCGCAGCGGUUUGGCACCUGCCUUUGGCCCAGGGCGAGAUCCUGGAGACCCGGGAUCGAGUCCCACGUCGGGCUCCCGGUGCAUGGAGGCUGCUUCUCCCUCUGCCUGUGUCUCUGCCUCUCUCUCUCUGUGUGACUAUCAUAAAUAAAUAAAAAUUAAAAAAAAUAAUUUCCUUUGGG